rnacentral:tRNA from 1 species
GGCCGACUAGCUCAGCUGGUUAGAGCGUCGUGCUAAUAACGCGAAGGUCUUGGGUUCGAUCCCCACGUUGGCC